AGAGUUUGAUCCUGGCUCAGAGCGAACGUUAGCGGGCGCUUAACACAUGCAAGUCGCACGAGAAAGGGCUUCGGCCCCGGUAAAGUGGCGCACGGGUGCGUAACACGUAGGCAAUCUUCCCUUGAGCGGGGGAUAACGUUUCGAAAGAGACGCUAAUACCGCAUAAGACCACGACCGGUUCGCCGGUUGCGGUCAAAGCUGGCCUCUUCAUGAAAGCUAGCACUCGAGGACGAGCCUGCGGCCCAUCAGCUAGUUGGUAGGGUAACGGCCUACCAAGGCUAAGACGGGUAGCUGGUCUGAGAGGAUGAUCAGCCACACUGGAACUGAAACACGGUCCAGACUCCUACGGGAGGCAGCAGUGGGGAAUAUUGGACAAUGGGCGAAAGCCUGAUCCAGCGACGCCGCGUGAGUGAUGAAGGCCUUCGGGUUGUAAAGCUCUGUUGAGGGAGAAGAAAACAGUUAGGGCGAAUAGGCCUAGCUCUUGACGGUAUCCCUUUAGAAAGCACCGGCUAACUCUGUGCCAGCAGCCGCGGUAAUACAGAGGGUGCAAACGUUGCUCGGAAUUACUGGGCGUAAAGCGCGUGUAGGCGGACCUGUAAGUUGGACGUGAAAGCCCUGGGCUCAACCCAGGAAUUGCGUACAAAACUACAGGCCUAGAGUGAUGGAGAGGGCAGCAGAAUUCCUGGUGUAGAGGUGAAAUUCGUAGAUAUCAGGAGGAACACCGGUGGCGAAGCGGCUGCCUGGACAUUAACUGACGCUGAGCCGCGAAAGCGUGGGGAGCAAACAGGAUUAGAUACCCUAGUAGUCC
rnacentral:rRNA from 1 species